UUCCAGGUCAGAGUUAUGACAGUGGCAAAUUCAAGCCCUGUCAACACUUUGGUGUUCUUUGGUGUCAGCAUUGGCGGUCAGGAAGUGGGCCGCAUGAAGAUCGAGCUGUGUGCAGACGUUGUGCCUAAGAUGGCCGAGAACUUUAGGCAGUUUUGCACUGGAGAAUUCAAAGAUGGUGAUUCAAUAGGAUACAAAGGGAGAACCUUCCACAGGGUCAUAAAGGAUUUCAUGAAUCAGGGUGGAGCUUUUGUUAAUGGAGAUGGUACCGGAGUCACCAGUAUUUACAGGGGGCCAUUUGCAGAUGAAAACUUUCAACUUAGACACCCAGCUCCGGGCCUGCUUUCCAUGGCAAACAGUGGUCCGAGCACAAAUGGUUGCCAGUUCUUUAUCACAUGGUCCAAAUGUGAUCGGCUGGAUGGGAAGCACGUGGUUUUUAAUGUUCCCACAGGCCCCAAUAAUAAACCUAAAUUGCCCGUGUGGAGAGAUGUAAUCCAGACCUUUAUUGAAUUAGUGCCGCUGACCUAA